AGAAAAAAAAAACAAACCUGUCUUCAAAACCAUCAGCUCCUAUGUGUCUGUGUAAGGCAUUCAGGAAGUAUUAGGUGUUGGAACGGAGAGAGAGAGGUGCGAAGCAAUUCUAGCAGCCGCCCACAGAUUAAACUUGUUCACAUUCAACAAACUCAGCUUUUCUUCCUCUGAACGUAGAGAUCUGGAAACAUAAUAUUCACACAGGCAGCCCGGCCUGCUGCUGUAUGCAAAGCUGCUUUCGGUGAGACCCA
rnacentral:lncRNA from 1 species